UACAGAGGGUGCAAGCGUUGUUCGGAAUUACUGGGCGUAAAGGGCGCGUAGGCGGCCUGUUAAGUCGAACGUGAAAUCCCCGGGCUCAACCCGGGAACUGCGUCCGAUACUGGCAGGCUUGAAUCCGGGAGAGGGAUGCGGAAUUCCAGGUGUAGCGGUGAAAUGCGCAGAUAUCAGGAGGAACACCGGUGGCGAAGGCGGGUCUCUGGACCAGCACUGACGCUGAGGCACGAAAGCGUGGGGAGCAAACAGG
rnacentral:rRNA from 1 species